CUGAAUCGUUUUACAAAUCGUAGAUUAAAUAUGUUUUGUUUUUAUGAUGUAAUCACCAAUUUCCCUAACAGGGACAUUACCAAAAAUACAUAACAGUUUCCUUUUUACACUUUUUCCUCGACAAGACUCUUAUCCCUUCACCAUUACAAUCAAAAUGCGUUGUUUAAUUCAGUACUGUAUUUAGUUUAGUAGUAAUAGUAUACGCUUUGUCCCCACACUCAUGUCAUUAAUAUACACCACUUUAUUAUUGGUCUCCAGGUCUCUAGACUAAUCUGGUUAUAUGCGCGCACACUAACUCAACUACAUACUUAAGAAUACAAGCCUAUUCAUACCAACAGUUAAUACUUGGAAAUUGACAGUUUAAUCGUUGAUUUAAUAUAGAGAAAAAGACUAAAAUAGCAUCAAACCAAAUUUUUGUUCCCAAAGUAGCACAGGCUCAAAGUCACAAAAAUAUGUUUCAUUAAAGAGGUAAAUAUACAUUUAUAUCCAAACCUUAGAGUUUAGAGUUAAGGGGUGGGGUUUUGGAAUUAGGGUUUCAAAUUUUAUAAAAAAUAAAUACUAAAAUAAAAAAUAAAAAUUUUAAAAACAGUUUCAAAAAGUAUUUUUAAAUUAUAAAAAGAAAAUUUGAAAAAAAAAAUCGAAAAGAAAAUUUCAAAAAAAAAUUAAAAAAAUUUCGAAUCUGAAAACAUAUAAUCUGAAACUAUAAAAAAAAAUUUAUUUUUUCAUCUUUUUUUAUUUUUAUUAAUUUAUUUUUAUAUAUUUUUAGGGCUUAUUUGCCAAAUAACGAAAAAAAUAUGAAAAUUAGAUUUUGGGAGAGAGAGUAGAGAGAGAUAGGAAGAGAAAGUAGGAGAGAGGGGGAAAUUUUGGUUAGUUAGUGUAUUUAAUUUUUUUUCAUGUAUAUAAGGUGCAAUUUCCCUUAUUUUUAUUUAUUUUUAUUUAUUUUUGUUUGUUUAUUUAAUUUUAAACCAAGGGUAUUAAAGAUAUUUUACCCUUUAAUGAAUGUUAUUUUUAUGACUUUCUCUUUUUAGUGUCAUUUUUGAGACAUAAACUUCAAAAAGUGCUAUUAUUGACAAUUGCUCUUUAAUAUAUUACAAAUGCAAAACCAAUGUCAAAAAGCGUAUUGCUCUUAUAUUGAUAUUUAUAUAUCAAGUAGUCGUUGCUUGAAUAAGAAGUAAUCAAAUAUCUUUUAAUAAAAAAAGAAUGCGAUUGAUAAUGUACAUGAUGCAUACGAUUAUAGAGGGAAUAAUGUUGGAAAGUACUGUAAUCUAGAAUUCUUGAUUGACUUCUGUAGCUAGUUCUUAGUAUAGACACACCAUCAUUCCUCUGCGGUAAAUAUUUUUAUGUUUAAAGUAGUAACAUAUUAUCAUCUAUCUACAAAUAUCAUCAUAACGAAACACUAUAACAUUAGAAUAUACUUGUAAAUUCCACC
rnacentral:lncRNA from 1 species